ensembl:lncRNA
CCUCACUCCAGCUGCUUCAGGUUAGCCGAAGGCAAAGGAACCUGGACGCGGACACAGGGAACCGCCCCCAACACGUACCUUCACUCGUCAUUGGCUACUGUGCUCAGCCUCUCCAGGCCAACAAGCAGCCUGAGCCGUCAAUCUUCUCCUCUGCCAAUCAGCGCGCCAGCCAGUUCAGGCCCUCUAGUCACGGCUCUGUACUGAAGGAUGGCAAGUCCCUAAGGCGCCCAGGGACACGUGCGCGCGGGUUUGGGGGCUUCCCACCAGCUGCCUGGGAGAGGGAAUAGGGAGGGAAGGAGAGAGCUCCCGGGACUUCAGCCCUGCUGCGGGUUCCUGAGAGGACUCUCUCCUCCUUCCAUUCUCCCUUGGGAGCUAUACUGAGAGUCCUAGCACUGAGUGGCCCAACUCUGCCUAUGAAUAGAUGAAGGUGCUUGGACACUGGCUAAGGGGACACUCCUGAUCCACCGAGGCCGGGCCUGUGGGCAGGCAAGAGGGGUUCUCCAGCCUGAUGAGGGCGGAUCCUUCCACACGCUACUCCAAGACAAGGGCCAGCUAGCCCCAGCCUGCCAGAGCGGGACAAGGGGCAGGCAGCGGUCAGGAGAGGCUUGCAGCUGCCAGGAAGCCCCGCGUGUUCCUCGUCAGUUCGGGGUUGCAUUCGCCAAG